CGAGUGCGCUGCUGUGCGAGUGGGAACCGCCGCGCCCUUGCUCUGCCCGCGCCACCGCCGCCGUCUCCGGGGGCCCCCCUCGCGCGCGCUGCUCUGGGUGCUCUCGCCUACCGCUGCCGAGGAAACUGACGGAGCCUGAGCGCGGCGGCGGGGCUAGGAGCCAGGCGAGUCAGCUGAUCCGGCCCAUCCCGCUCGGCACCCGAGAGAGACCCCUAGCGGAGCCGCCGGGCAGCUGCGCCUGCCUGCGCCGGGAGGGGUCCGGGCGCUCCACGAGCCCCGCGCCCCGCGCCCACAGGUGCAGCGCCCUCGGCGCAGCCUGCACCCCGCGCGCCCCCCUUCCGCUGCCCGGCCGACGGCCCACCUGGGCUUCGGGAACGGUGGGAGGGAGAGUCUGGAGCCAGGAGAGGAACGGUGCAGGAUCAGGGAAAGAAAGAUCUGCUGGGCAGGCCUGAGCCGCAGGAUGAGGGAAGGCAGACAUAUGUAUGAGAACCUAUGCAGAGGCAUAAGCCGCCACACCCGGUGGAGAUGUAUAGCUUUCAAAAAUGCAGAGAGGAACUUGUGGGCACUACUGGCAUACAUCGAAGAACAAAAUGUGAACAAUCUGGUUGCUGUGUUACAACAACUUGGUUAAUACAAUAUGGUGUUGAUGAGAUGCUCCCAACCCAUCUUGGAGUAACUGAAUGAUGCUGACUGAAAGGUAGGUAUGAGGAGGGAGUGGAGGUAUACAGGGGCUAGGGUGGGGCAAGGAGGCUUUCCAGGCAUGGAGAAAAGUUAAACUAAGACAUAGCUUAUGUGAGAAAUAAGCAUAGUACAAGUAGUCUAGUGUUGCUGGAUCAUAAGGGCUUUCAGGAUAAAGAAUUUUCAAAGAAGGAGAGAUAUAACUGCUUAAUAUACAGCCCACCAAUGGGAUUAUGCAAUGAUUUAUAACUGUCCACUAGAUAUCUGUGUGACAUCAGACAAGCCAUUAACAUCUCUGUACCUCAUUUGUCAUCAAAUGUUGCAUGGGAAUUAAACAUUGUGAAUUGUCUCCUUUCUAAAGAGACAUAUGAAUUGCUAAAAAAAAGAAAAAUUAAGUCCUAAAGGACUUUCUAAUAUUGUCCUCUAUACAGCCAAGUCUUGGGCAGAUAAAAAGAUAUAAAGGAAAUGUAUCAUCAAUUAGAUUCUAGAUUAAACAGAUUAAAGUUAAAAACCCUUAAAGAAAGGAAGAACUUUCAAACUGUGUGGUAGUUGGUGCCUCAAGGAUGCUAUCCUGCUCAUGCCAUGCCCUAGAGAAAAAAAUUCCCAAACCUCAAGCUCAAGUCUGCACUUAUCCUUCCCCAACAACACCCUUCAUGACUCAUGAAAAGGGCUCACCUUCUAUCUAACCAUAAAUCCUCCUGUAAUAGUUGUUCUGAAACAUUUGGUGUGUCUGUGAAGAUCCUGAAUUGUUAAGAAUGUUCUGAGCCCAUGCAGCCAUCCAGUAGUACCAAUUUCUUCACAGAUAAUGCGGUUGCUAUGAACUCCUAUAGAAUUUGGCUAUUUCCAGGGCUUUCAGGUCAUUGAGGAUGCUCCAUCAGGAGCCACAUUAUGCUUUAUUUUAAGAUGUACACCAGCAGUAGUCACGAGUUCCUCUCUUCCUUUUUGAAGGCUGUACAUCUUUAACUUUGAUCUGCAUUUACUGCCUCUACCUCAUGGCAGCCAUACACAAGCAAAUCGGAGAGCACGAUACUCCCAGUACCAAUGCAACACUUUAAGUUGGGCAAAUGCCAGCCAACAUACGCUAGCCUCCAGAGCCUUUGCCCUCAUUUACAAUUCCAUACAGAGCGACAGGGAAGACCAAGAGGUUGCCUUGAUGCCUACACACAACUAUUCCUAAAUAGUGGACUCAGUCAUAAACAUACAUAAGCACAGGAAACAAAGAGACAGGGCAUUUCUGAUUCUUCCAUCCAUUUGAUCCACCUGCAAGGUCGUCUUGGAUCUUUAAUAGUCAUCCCCAUGAAAGAGCAACAGGAACAUGGAAAUGAGCAGGGAAGAAGGCAUGGUGGAAUCUGUAAGACCUUAAAUGGAAGAGGCACAGAAAGUAGAGAUAGCAACUCACUAUGAUAUCAAAGAACAGGUUGAAAUGAAGUAUCUGGAAGUCUAUGUUCCAAAGUUGCUCUGAGAUCAUAUAGCAGUGCAUUCUCCAUUGCAAAACUCCCUGAGAGGGGCUUAUGCUAACAUCAGUCCAUAGCCAUUAAUGAACAGAGUGAAACUUUCACCUGUGCUGGUAAAUCUAUUCACUUAUGUGGUUUAGAAGUUGCCUAAAUUAUCACUAUUUGUGACAUAAAAUUUUGAAAGUUGCAAUAUCUACUAAAAUUUGCAUAGUGGCUAUCAUUGAUGGAAUGCAAUUUCCCAAAUUGAAUUCAUAGGCUAAAGCUGUGUUUGAAAUUUAAGUUUUUAUUAUGAGCAUUGGUUAAGUACAGUUGACCCUUGAACAAUGAGGGGAUUAGAGGUGCUGAGAUUUCACAUAUAACUUUUGACUCUCUCAAAUCUUAACUACUAAUAGCCCACUGUUAACUGGAAACCUUACCAAUAACAUGAACAGUUAACACAUAUGUUGUAUGCUAUAUGUAUUAUAUACUAUAUUCUUACAAUAAAAUAAACUAAUGAAAAGAAAAUGUUUUUAAG
rnacentral:lncRNA from 13 species